AGCUCCAAUAGCGUAUAUUAAAGUUGUUGCAGUUAAAAAGCUCGUAGUUGGAUUUCUGGUUUGAGUGUCCGGUCGACUCAAUUAGUGUGUACUAUGGAUGUUUGGGCCAUAUUUUGUGAGGAUGCCAUUCUGCCAUUAGGUUGGUGGUUUGGUGGACUUGCAUCGUUUACUGUGAAAAAAUUAGAGUGUUUAAAGCAGGCGUUAUGUCAUUUGAAUACAUUAGCAUGGAAUAAUAAGAUACGACUUUGGUGGUCUAUUUUGUUGGUUUACACACCAGGGUAAUGAUUAAUAGGGACAGUUGGGGGUAUUCAUAUUUCAACGUCAGAGGUGAAAUUCUUGGAUCGUUGAAAGAUGAGCUUAGGCGAAAGCAUUUACCAAGGAUGUUUUCAUUA
rnacentral:rRNA from 1 species